UAGGGAAUCUUCGGCAAUGGACGAAAGUCUGACCGAGCAACGCCGCGUGAGUGAAGAAGGCUUUCGGAUCGUAAAACUCUGUUGCUAGAGAAGAACAAGGAUGAGAGUAGAAUGUUCAUCCCUUGACGGUAUCUAACCAGAAAGCCACGGCUAACUACGUGCCAGCAGCCGCGGUAAUACGUAGGUGGCAAGCGUUGUCCGGAUUUAUUGGGCGUAAAGCGAGCGCAGGCGGUUUCUUAAGUCUGAUGUGAAAGCCCCCGGCUCAACCGGAGAGGGUCAUUAGAAACUGGGAAACUUGAGUGCAGAAGAGGAGAGUGGAAUUCCAUGUGUAGCGGUGAAAUGCGUAGAUAUAUGGAGGAACACCAGUGGCGAAGGCGGCUCUCUGGUCUGUAACUGACGCUGAGGCUCGAAAGCGUGGGGAGCAAACAGG
rnacentral:rRNA from 1 species